GACGAACGCUGGCGGCGUGCUUAACACAUGCAAGUCGAGCGAGGCCCACCUUUCGGGGUGGUGUCCUAGCGGCGAACGGGUGAGUAACACGUGGGCAACCUGCCCCCGGCUCGGGGAUAACCCCAAGAAAUUGGGGCUAAUACCGGAUACGACCGCUGACCGCAUGGUCUGGUGGUGGAAAGAUUUAUCGGCUGGGGAUGGGCCCGCGGCCUAUCAGCUUGUUGGUGGGGUAGUGGCCUACCAAGGCGACGACGGGUAGCCGGCCUGAGAGGGUGACCGGCCACACUGGGACUGGGACGCGGCCCAGACUCCUACGGGGGGCAGCAGUGGGGAAUAUUGCGCAAUGGGCGAAGGCCUGACGCAGCGACGCCGCGUGGGGGAUGACGGCCUUCGGGUUGUAAACCUCUUUCAGCAGGGACGAAGCCCGCAAGGGUGACGGUACCUGCAGAAGAAGCACCGGCCAACUACGUGCCAGCAGCCGCCGUAA
rnacentral:rRNA from 1 species